GACGAACGCUGGCGGCGUGCUUAACACAUGCAAGUCGAACGGUGAAGCGCCUUCCUUUUUGGUGGGUGUGGAUGAGUGGCGAACGGGUGAGUAACACGUGAGUAACCUGCCCCCUUCUUCUGGAUAACCGCAUGAAAGUGUGGCUAAUACGGGAUAUUCUGGGUCUGUCGCAUGAUGGGUCUGGGAAAGAUAUUGUUUCGGUGGGGGAUGGGCUCGCGGCCUAUCAGCUUGUUGGUGGGGUGAUGGCCUACCAAGGCGGUGACGGGUAGCCGGCCUGAGAGGGUGGACGGUCACACGAGGACUGAGACACGGCCCAGACUCCUACGGGAGGCAGCAGUGGGGAAUAUUGCACAAUGGGCGGAAGCCUGAUGCAGCGACGCCGCGUGAGGGAUGGAGGCCUUCGGGUUGUGAACCUCUUUCGCCAGUGAAGCAGGCCUGCCUCGUUUGUGGGUGGGUUGACGGUAGCUGGAUAAGAAGCGCCGGCUAACUACGUG
rnacentral:rRNA from 1 species